rnacentral:rRNA from 1 species
AGUGAACGCUGGCGGUAGGCCUAACACAUGCAAGUCGAACGGCAGCACAGUAAGAGCUUGCUCUUACGGGUGGCGAGUGGCGGACGGGUGAGGAAUACAUCGGAAUCUACUUUUUCGUGGGGGAUAACGUAGGGAAACUUACGCUAAUACCGCAUACGACCUACGGGUGAAAGCAGGGGAUCUUCGGACCUUGCGCGAUUGAAUGAGCCGAUGUCGGAUUAGCUAGUUGGCGGGGUAAAGGCUCACCAAGGCGACGAUCCGUAGCUGGUCUGAGAGGAUGAUCAGCCCCACUGGAACUGAGACACGGUCCAGACUCCUACGGGAGGCAGCAGUGGGGAAUAUUGGACAAUGGGCGCAAGCCUGAUCCAGCCAUACCGCGUGGGUGAAGAAGGCCUUCGGGUUGUAAAGCCCUUUUGUUGGGAAAGAAAAGCAGCAGGUUAAUACCCCGCUGUUCUGACGGUACCCAAAGAAUAAGCACCGGCUAACUUCGUG